rnacentral:lncRNA from 1 species
CUUACCUAGUUAUAUAAAGGUUAAAUAAAGUAAUGAUUUGGGUAUAAACUAUCUUAGUGUUUGCUGCUCUCUACAGGUCAGCGUGUGUCAUUGACUCCACAUCUGGACAGAGCAGAGAUGUGUAGUAAGUGAACCCUUUAUUCUCCACACACUUCUAAAGUGCAGUACACCAAUCCAAUGCUUUUGAAUCCAUGAUGAAAGUGGGGAAAAGUAUGGAGAAUCGGGACACUAGUCUCUCAGGUAGAAAGACAACGUCAAACAGCUUUCAUAUGAUAGAAAGACCAGAGUCUCAAAUGAGUCUUCAGCACUAUGUGACACUGAAAACAUUUUAACUACUGUACACAAUGGGAAGUGAUUUUUUAAAAACUAUAAAGUGAUAAUUGGAUAAAUGUCAUUUGUCUGCUGUUUUUUUUGGGGGGGGGGUGGCAUGUGUUGCAAAUAUCUAGGUGUCAUUUUACGUCAAGCUGCAGAGUUAACGUGUAGUUCCAUACUAGAUAGACGGAGAGACGUGUAGUUCCAUACUAGAUAGACGGAGAGACGUGUAGUUCCACACUAGAUAGACGGAGAGACGUGUAGUUCCACACUAGAUAGACGGAGAGACGUGUAGUUCCAUACUAGAUAGACGGAGAGACGUGUAGUUCCAUACUAGAUAGACGGAGAGACGUGUAGUUCCAUACUAGAUAGACGGAGAGACGUGUAGUUCCAUACUAGAUAGACGGAGAGAGUUAACAUGUAGUUCCAUACUAGAUAGACGGAGAGACGUGUAGUUCCAUACUAGAUAGACGGAGAGAGUUAACAUGUAGUUCCAUACUAGAUAGACGGAGAGACGUGUAGUUCCAUACUAGAUAGACGGAGAGACGUGUAGUUCCAUACUAGAUAGACGGAGAGACGUGUAGUUCCAUACUAGAUAGACGGAGAGACGUGUAGAUCCAUACUAGAUAGACGGAGAGACGUGUAGAUCCAUACUAGAUAGACGGAGAGACGUGUAGUUCCAUACUAGAUAGACGGAGAGACGUGUAGUUCCACACUAGAUAGACGGAGAGACGUGUAGUUCCAUACUAGAUAGACGGAGAGACGUGUAGUUCCAUACUAGAUAGACGGAGAGACGUGUAGUUCCACACUAGAUAGACGGAGAGACGUGUAGUUCCAUACUAGAUAGACGGAGAGACGUGUAGUUCCAUACUAGAUAGACGGAGAGACGUGUAGUUCCAUACUAGAUAGACGGAGAGACGUGUAGUUACAUACUAGAUAGACGGAGAGACGUGUAGUUCCAUACUAGAUAGACGGAGAGAGUUAACGUGUAGUUCCAUACUAGAUAGACAGAAAGAUUUAACGUGUAGUUCCAUACUAGAUAGACGGAGAGACGUGUAGUUCCACACUAGAUAGACGGAGAGACGUGUAGUUCCAUACUAGAUAGACGGAGAGACGUGUAGUUCCAUACUAGAUAGACGGAGAGACGUGUAGUUCCAUACUAGAUAGACGGAGAGAGUUAACGUGUAGUUACAUACUAGAUAGACGGAGAGAGUUAACGUGUAGUUCCAUACUAGAUAGACGGAGAGACGUGUAGUUCCACACUAGAUAGACGGAGAGACGUGUAGUUCCAUACUAGAUAGACGGAGAGAGUUAACGUGUAGUUCCAUACUAGAUAGACGGAGAGGCGUGUAGUUACAUACUAGAUAGACGGAGAGACGUGUAGUUCCAUACUAGAUAGACAGAGAGACGUGUAGUUCGAUACUAGAUAGACGGAGAGACGUGUAGUUCCAUACUAGAUAGACGGAGAGACGUGUAGUUCCAUACUAGAUAGAUACAGAGAGACGUGUAGUUCCAUACUAGAUAGACGGAGAGACGUGUAGUUCCAUACUAGAUAGACGGAGAGACGUGUAGUUCCAUAUUAGAUAGACGGAGAGACGUGUAGUUCCAUACUAGAUAGACGGAGAGACGUGUAGUUCCAUACUAGAUAGACGGAGAGACGUGUAGAUCCAUACUCGAUAGACGGAGAGACGUGUAGUUCCAUACUAGAUAGACGGAGAGACGUGUAGUUCCACACUAGAUAGACGGAGAGACGUGUAGUUCCAUACUAGAUAGACGGAGAGACGUGUAGUUCCAUACUAGAUAGACGGAGAGACGUGUAGUUCCAUACUAGAUAGACGGAGAGAGUUAACGUGUAGUUACAUACUAGAUAGACGGAGAGAGUUAACGUGUAGUUCCAUACUAGAUAGACGGAGAGACGUGUAGUUCCACACUAGAUAGACGGAGAGACGUGUAGUUCCAUACUAGAUAGACGGAGAGAGUUAACGUGUAGUUCCAUACUAGAUAGAUGGAGAGGCGUGUAGUUACAUACUAGAUAGACGGAGAGACGUGUAGUUCCAUACUAGAUAGACAGAGAGACGUGUAGUUCCAUACUAGAUAGACGGAGAGACGUGUAGUUCCAUACUAGAUAGACGAGAGACGUGUAGUUCCAUACUAGAUAGAGACAGAGAGACGUGUAGUUCCAUACUAGAUAGACGGAGAGACGUGUAGUUCCAUACUAGAUAGACGGAGAGACGUGUAGUUCCAUACUAGAUAGACGGAGAGACGUGUAGUUCCAUACUAGAUAGACGGAGAGACGUGUAGUUCCAUACUAGAUAGACGGAGAGACGUGUAGUUCCAUACUAGAUAGACGGAGAGACGUGUAGUUCCAUACUAGAUAGACGGAGAGACUUAACGUGUAGUUCCAUACUAGAUAGACGGAGAGACGUGUAGUUCCACACUAGAUAGACGGAGAGACGUGUAGUUCCACACUAGAUAGACGGAGAGACGUGUAGUUCCACACUAGAUAGACGGAGAGACGUGUAGUUCCAUACUAGAUAGACGGAGAGACGUGUAGUUACAUACUAGAUAGACGGAGGAGGAGACGUGUGUUUUCUUUCAUCCUUGUACUGUAAGAGCCUACGUGCUGAUUGAGAACCCAGCACAUUAACUCUUACUGUUCAAGGCUGAGAGAUAGUAAAGAGGGGAGAAGAGAGGAAAGGAGAGAGAAGGAGAAAUUAUGCACACUAACACUCACACACACGAUAAUGCUUCUGUAAACGACAGUGGUUGGAUUAAAACAGUCAUUUUUAAACAUGUGACAUGUCAGUGUAGUCAGCCAUCCCUCUUCUCUCCGUCCCUCUUUCCUACCCCUCCAUCUACCCCUCCAUCCAUCCCUCUUUCCCAUACCUCCACCCCUCCCUCUUCCCUACCCCUCCAUCCCUCCUUCCAUCCUUUCACCCAUUCAUCUCUUCCACUCUCCCCAUCCUUCCUUCCACUACUCCCUCCAUCCCAUCCGGAUGAUGACUAAUACUUACCCCAG